AAAUGCGAUAAGUAAUGUGAAUUGCAGAAUUCAGUGAAUCAUCGAAUCAUUGAACGCACAUUGCGCCCGCCAGUAUUCUGGCGGGCAUGCCUGUUCGAGCGUCAUUACAACCCUCAGGCCCCCGGGCCUGGCGUUGGGGAUCGGCGGAAGCCCCCUGCGGGCACAACGCCGUCCCCCAAAUACAGUGGCGGUCCCGCCGCAGCUUCCAUUGCGUAGUAGCUAACACCUCGCAACUGGAGAGCGGCGCGGCCACGCCGUAAAACACCCAACUUCUGAAUGUUGACCUCGAAUCAGGUAGGAAUACCCGCUGAACUUAAGC
rnacentral:misc_RNA from 1 species